GGAGGGAGUGGCAGAAAACGUGAGGUGGGAAUCAAAUCAUGCUGGGCUUUUUGGCCAGCAAACUUGGAAAUCAUGUCUUAGAGAUCAAGGAGCCAAGAGAUGAGACAAGCCUGGGUUCCUAGGUGAUAGGGUGUGGCUGUGUCCCCACCCAAAUCUCGUCUUGAAUUGUAGCUCCCAUAAUCCCCACAUGUUGUGGAGGGACCCUGUGGAAGGUAAUUGAAUUAUGGAGCAUCUACUUGUUUCCAAAGUUAUUUGGGUCAGCAUUUUCCUCCACCCACCACUUAAAACUGAUUUGUUUCAUACAUUUGAAAUGUAUGAAAAGCCAGAAAUCCAGGACCCACCCUGGCCUGCUCCCUUUUUCUCACCUACUGUGUUAAGGAUAAGUCAAUUGAGCUUCACUUCUCUAAUUGAAAUCACCGUGCUGAUGGAGUCUGUCUGUGGAAAUGAAAGGUGGCUACCAUAAUCUGUUGGGAGUUGAAUUAAUCCUCUGGGAGUGAGGCUGACCUAAUUACUCAGAAAUACUGGGCUUGCUUUCAUUCUGUGGAAUACAGCCAUGAGAAAGAGGCCAGCAUGCCAUUUCCUAAUCUUUUCUUGAAUUGCCUGAAACUCACCUAACAUGAAACUGAGAAGCCUUUUCAUUUGAAAGUGGUAUUUCUUAUGUUUUUUAUCUUUUUGCUUGAAAGUAUUCUUAAACUAAAGAAAGGAGAAACAGAAAAGGUGAAGAAGCCAAGAGGCUGGAGUUUCCUUUUGAAUGGAUAUUCAUCCAUGAAGCUGUUGAUUCUGUUUUUCUGUUCCUCCAGAUGUCUACACUUUUACCUCUGCUUGCCUGAUACAACCACCACCAGUCACCUCACAGAAUAACUCACUCCUUAAGAAUCUGAUCAGGAAUCAGCCUUCCCUGAUCACAAACACUGAGUUUAGAAGUCCCUCCACAGUGUCCCCCGUAACCCUGUGCUACCUCACUGCCUCAUAGUUUAGUGCCGUUUGUGUACAUGCCUAUCUUCGUCCAUGGAUCCAGAACAACUUGUAAAAAUGACUGUACUUAUCACCUUCAGUAUUCAAUGACUAAACUAUAAUUUUAACAUAUCUGGCAGAAUGAAUCACUUGGGGAUUUCUGCCAACACUACCAAUAUAUUACUCCUAAUUUGUAAUUAUUACUUAGCAUGGAUUAUAGUACCGGCUGUUGGAGAGCCAAUGUGGCAGACCCUAAGUGGAAUAAAAUGUCAGUAGCAGUCUAGGAGCAUAUAUUUAUUGGAAUAGAUCAUUCAUUCAUUUGUUCAUUAACUAAUUUGUUCAUUAAAUAAACAUUUAUUAAGC
rnacentral:lncRNA from 1 species